CCUACGGGGGGCUGCAGUGGGGAAUAUUGCACAAUGGGCACAAGCCUGAUGCAGCCAUGCCGCGUGUGUGAAGAAGGCCUUCGGGUUGUAAAGCACUUUCAGCGGGGAGGAAGGCGGUGAGGUUAAUAACCUCAUCGAUUGACGUUACCCGCAGAAGAAGCACCGGCUAACUCCGUGCCAGCAGCCGCGUGUAAUACGGAGGGUGCAAGCGUUAAUCGGAAUUACUGGGCGUAAAGCGCACGCAGGCGGUCUGUCAAGUCGGAUGUGAAAUCCCCGGGCUCAACCUGGGAACUGCAUUCGAAACUGGCAGGCUAGAGUCUUGUAGAGGGGGGUAGAAUUCCAGGUGUAGCGGUGAAAUGCGUAGAGAUCUGGGGGAAUACCGGUGGCGCAGGCGGCCCCCUGGACAAAGACUGACGCUCAGGUGCGAAAGCGUGGGGAGCAAACAGGAUUAGAUACCCUGGUAGUC
rnacentral:rRNA from 1 species